GGCCCCUUAGCUCAGUGGUUAGAGCGCACGACUCAUAAUCGUUCGGUCCCCAGUUCAAAUCUGGGAGGGGCCACCA
rnacentral:tRNA from 142 species